AUUGAACGCUGGCGGCAGGCCUAACACAUGCAAGUCGAACGAGUGGCGGACGGGUGAGUAAUGUCUGGGAAACUGCCUGAUGGAGGGGGAUAACUACUGGAAACGGUAGCUACUACCGCAUACCAUCAGAUGUGCCCAGAUGGGUUUAGCUAGUUGGUGGGGUAACGGAUCACAUAGGCGACGAUCCCUAGCUGGUCUGAGAGGAUGACCAGCUACACUGGAACAGAGACACGGUCACGACUCCUACGGGAGGCAGCAGUGGGGAAUAUUGCAAAAUGGGCGCAAGCCUGAUGCAGCAAUGCCGCGUGUAUGAAGAAGGCCUUCGGGUUGUAAAGUACUUUCAGCGGGGAGGCGUUAACCGCAGAAGAAGCACGGGCUAACGCCGAGCCAGCAGCCGCGGUAAUUC
rnacentral:rRNA from 1 species